rnacentral:rRNA from 1 species
ACGCUGGCGGCGUGCUUAACACAUGCAAGUCGAACGGUAAGGCCCUUCGGGGUACACGAGUGGCGAACGGGUGAGUAACACGUGGGUGAUCUGCCCUGCACUUCGGGAUAAGCCUGGGAAACUGGGUCUAAUACCGGAUAGGACCAUGGACUUCACGGUUUGUGGUGGAAAGCUUUUGCGGUGUGGGAUGGGCCCGCGGCCUAUCAGCUUGUUGGUGGGGUAAUGGCCUACCAAGGCGACGACGGGUAGCCGGCCUGAGAGGGUGUCCGGCCACACUGGGACUGAGAUACGGCCCAGACUCCUACGGGAGGCAGCAGUGGGGAAUAUUGCACAAUGGGCGCAAGCCUGAUGCAGCGACGCCGCGUGAGGGAUGACGGCCUUCGGGUUGUAAACCACUUUCAACAGGGACGAAGCGCAAGUGACGGUACCUAUAGAAGAAGCACCGGCCAACUACGUG